rnacentral:rRNA from 1 species
UGAUGCAGCCAUGCCGCGUGUAUAGAGAAGGCCUUCGGGUUGUAAAGUACUUUCAGAGUGGGAGGGAGGGGUUGUGGUUAAUAAGCUAUCGAUAGACU